rnacentral:misc_RNA from 1 species
UUUCCGUAGGUGAACCUGCGGAGGAUCAUUAAAAAAUUGGACUCCAUUGGUGAGUUCAUUAAUAAUCCCUACCCUUUGUGAAUUUGUUUGUUUGAAUAAUUUUUUUUCCAAAAAAAAAUUAUUGAAUGUCUUUCCCUGUUUUGGUGGAGCUUGUAAAGUGAAACCAGGCAGGGGAAUGGCAAACAAUAAUUAUUUUUUGAAAAAAGACCUUUUUUAAAAUUAAACUUUUUGUAUUCAUUUGUCUAAAAUUAUUUUUAUAAUAUAAAAACAACUUUUGACAAUGGAUCUCUUGGUUCUCGCAACGAUGAAGAACGCAGCAAAAUGCGAUAAGUAGUGUGAAUUGCAGAAUACGUGAAUCAUCGAAUCUUCGAACGCAUAUUGCACUUUUUUAGUUUACUAAAAAAGUAUGUCUGUCUGAGUAUCAGUAAAAUAUUCUCAUAAAAAACAUUGUUUUUUUAUGGUUAUGAGUGUUUUACGACGAUAACAAGUUGUUUCACUUUAAAUUCUUUGUUAUCAAAAAAAUCAUUAAAAGCUAAUUUUAAAGAUUUUUUAAAAUUGGAUAAAAUUUUCCCGUAAAAAGAAAUAACCUAAACAAUUUUAAAAAAUUAAAAUUGGUUUGAUUUUUUUUGAAACCCAAAGGAAAAAAAACGAAAUUAACUUGAUCUCAAAUCAGAUAAGAGUACCCGCUGAACUUAAGCAUAUCAAUAAGCGGAGGAAAAGAAACUAACUAGGAUUCCCUCAGUAACGGCGAGUGAAGCGGGAAGAGCUCAAAUUUGAAAUCUUCAAGGUUUUACCUUGACGAAUUGUAGUUUAAAGAAGUGUUUUCUGUUGGAGUUUUGGUAAAAGUUCUUUGGAAAAGGACAUCAUAGAGGGUGAGAAUCCCGUAUUUGACCAUUAUCUCCAGCUUUGUGAUACACUUUCAAAGAGUCGGAUUGUUUGGGAAUGCGGUCCAAAAUGGGUGGUAAAUUUCAUCUAAAGCUAAAUACUGGCGAGAGACCGAUAGCGAACAAGUACCGUGAGGGAAAGAUGAAAAGAACUUUGAAAAGAGAGUUAAACAGUACGUGAAAUUGUCAAAAGGGAAGCGUUUGACACCAGUGUUGUUUUCUCGAAAAUCAAUUAAAAAAGGCCGGAUUUUGUGUUGUAUUGACUUUAUCAGCUUUCUGCACUUUUUUCUUGUCUUUUUUAAUGCACUUUUCGUUUAACAAGUCAACAUCAAUUUCUUUUGUUGUAAAAGGGUCAUUGGAAGGUGGCUUUCUUUUCGGAGAAAGUGUUUAUAGCCUUUGGCCUCUGCAAUCGGAGAGAUUGAGGUCUGCAGCGUAGAUCCUUCGGGGUUAGAUACAUUUGUGCUAAGUUAUAGCCUUUCAUAGACAACUUGUUGACUAUGAUCAGUCAUGUAGCUUACUCGCUUAUGCUAUUU